CCCAUCUCUUCACGUGAAAAACCAGAGAGAGAAUAGUGAGAAAACUCGAGAGAGCAAGGGGGGAGGUCGCCGCUCAAGCCGCCACCACCGCCGGGACGCCGUCGUACACGCGAGAGAGAGAUUUGCGAGAGGGAGAGAGAAAUCGCCAGGGAGAAGGAAGGUGAAGGGGACUUGGACAGCAAGAGAUUGUUCUUCCAAACUUCAUUCUCUUCUCUUUUCAGAUCAAGAAUCAAGAUGGUGUUGGCUACGAUCAUGGUGACUUCCUGGAAGUUGAGCCACGAUGAUGAGGAGUCCGAACUAGAGCCAGAGGAAGAGCUUCCCAAGGUGACAGACGAUCCUUGGAAUGAGAUUAACCCAUCUGACGAUGAGUUGUGGUCCCGAAGCUUCACUGCAAGGACCAAGCGGCAGUUCCAGAAUGGUCAAAGGGGCAUCUAUGUGGACUUGAAGACUUCAUGGAGGACAUGCUCUGGAAUGACUAGGGUUGGGUUGAGUGACUUGUACUUCUUCUUCUGGGUUGAGAGUAUCAGGUGGGCGUUGAACUAUUUAGUUUACCUUUCAGUUGGAUAUUUUCCUUCCACUUAAUAUAAUUUAUAACGAGGUUUCUUUUGGGAUAAA